rnacentral:rRNA from 1 species
GUCCACGCCGUAAACGGUGGGCGCUAGGUGUGGGGAACCUUCCACGUUCUCCGUGCCGUAGCUAACGCAUUAAGCGCCCCGCCUGGGGAGUACGGCCGCAAGGCUAAAACUCAAAGGAAUUGACGGGGGCCCGCACAAGGCGGCGGAGCAUGCGGCUUAAUUCGAUUGCAACGCGAAGAACCUUACCUAGGCUUGACAUGUGGGGAAAUCUGUCAGAGAUGGCAGGUCCGCAAGGGUCCCAUACAGGUGGUGCAUGGCUGUCGU